GACAUUCCCUAAAUGUCUCUAAAAGCUUUGCCAAUAUUUGCCAGUUUGAAAAUAUGUUCUAGUAGAAAUUCAGCUAGUGGUAUUUUAAGCAAAUUCCAAUUAGAAACCAUUUAGCUGUCAGUGAUCAAAACAUAGGAGGGAGAGUUGGUAUCUAACGAUGAUAAUGCACAUUUAUAGAAUACCUUUCCCUGAGAAGAUCGGAACAGGCAACAUCUUCGUUGUUCAUUUCUGGAACGAUGGCAUCGCUACCUUGAAUUCUUUCCUGAUCUCUGCCUCUUCAGUUGCCUUUAGCUUGCUGUGUUCCUUUUCUCCGGUUUGCUUUACGUCAACGCUGACAACUCCCUUUUACAAUCCUUCGUGAACUUUCUCUGUGUGUGACCGGCGGCUGUAGAGUUCUGGUCUGCUCUUUGUACAAGUGAAGAUGGCAAGAGGCAGUCCGAACUCUCCAGCUGGGAAUGUCUUCUCAGAACGUUUCCCAAACAGAGAUGUUGUUUCCUGUCCUGGAGACACACAUUCCCGAGUCACUCCUCCAGAGGGAGCCGAUGCCACAGACGCCAGCGUCGCUCUUUUCUAACAUGUCUCACCUGGAUUUCUCAGGGCAACUUAGUGUUUACGUCUGCUCCGUCCAAUUUUGCUAGCAGAUGCAAGGUGAUGUCUGCUUUCCCUUUCUAUCCUUCCUCAUUUGCCAUUUACUUCUCCCAUGAGGAGUGUCUCCAAUGGGACAUGGUUGACGUCACUUCUUUCUCACCUUUCCUGAAGCUCGGUGCCACGGAACCAAAUUCCCACGUUACUCUUCUCCUGAUUAGCUCAUCUGCUAUGCAGAGGAAACUGAUUUUAAUUUCCCUCUCUCCUACCUACUAACUUUCUUCGAAUAGAACCUUCCUCUGGAAACCAGCACCUGAUGGGAGAACAGUGGAGUCUGACCCUAACAGUCAAUUCUCCAAGAUGUAAGGACGUAUUUCUAGUUUGUGGCUUUGCCUCCAAUGAUCCGUCAGUUAGAGGCAACCCUCCUGGGAAGUAUCUUUCCAAUGAGGAUUGCUAUAAACAUUCCUAGAGCACUCUGCUUGCCAGAAUAUUUAGGCAAAUCUGAAAAAAUAAAGAUCAAUAAAUAAAAAAAUCA
rnacentral:lncRNA from 1 species